rnacentral:rRNA from 1 species
AGAGUUUGAUCCUGGCUCAGGAUGAACGCUGGCGGCGUGCCUAAUACAUGCAAGUCGAACGAGGUAGCAAUACCGAGUGGCGAACGGGUGAGUAACACGUAGGUAACCUGCCCUUAAGCUUGGGAUACCCAGAGGAAACUUUGGCUAAUACCGGAUAACAACAGAGAAGGCAUCUUCUUUGCUUGAAAGGCCCCUUCAAGGGUCACUUAAGGAUGGACCUGCGGCGCAUUAGCUAGUUGGUGAGAUAACAGCCCACCAAGGCGAGGAUGCGUAGCCGAACUGAGAGGUUGAUCGGCCACAUUGGAACUGAGACACGGUCCAAACUCCUACGGGAGGCAGCAGUAAGGAGUUUUCGGCAAUGGGGGAAACCCUGACCGAGCAACGCCGCGUGAGCGAUGACGGCCCUAUGGGUUGUAAAGCUCUGUUGUAAGCCAUGAAUGAUAGCUUGAGGAAAUGCGAGCUAUUUGACGACAGCUUACCAGAAAGCCACGGCUAACUACGUGCCAGCAGCCGCGGUAAUACGUAGGUGGUAAGCGUUAUCCGGAAUUAUUGGGCGUAAAGAGUGAGCAGGCGGCUAAUUAAGUCUGAAGUCAAAUCGUGGGGCUCAACCCCAUCUCGCUUUGGAAACUGAUUGGCUAGAGUACGGGAGAAGUGAAGGGAACUCCAUGUGUAGCGGUGAAAUGCGUAGAUAUAUGGAAGAACACCAGUGGCGAAGGCGCUUCACUAGCCCGAAACUGACGCUCAGUCACGAAAGCGUGGGUAGCAAAUAGGAUUAGAUACCCUAGUAGUCCACGCUGUAAACGAUGACAACUAAAUAUUGCCGCGAGGCAGUGUUGAAGCUAACGCAUUAAGUUGUCCGCCUGGGGAGUACGGUCGCAAGACUGAAACUUAAAGGAAUUGACGGGGACCCGCACAAGCAGUGGAGCAUGUGGUUUAAUUCGACGCAACGCGAAGAACCUACCAGGGCUUGACAUAUUGAUUACUACCCUCUAAGAGAUUAGAGGAGACUAUAAAUACAGGUGGUGCAUGGUUGUCGUCAGCUCGUGUCGUGAGAUGUUGGGUUAAGUCCCGCAACGAGCGCAACCCCUUUCCUUAGUUGCCAUCAUUCAGUUGGGAACUCUAAGGAUACUGCCGAUGUAAGUCGGAGGAAGGUGGGGAUGACGUCAAAUCAUCAUGCCCUUUAUGUCCUGGGCGACACACGUGCUACAAUGGCCGGUACAAAGAGACGCGAAUCCGCGAGGAGGAGCAAAUCCCAUAAAGCCGGUCUCAGUUCGGAUUGGAGUCUGCAACUCGACUCCAUGAAGCUGGAAUCGCUAGUAAUCGCGCAUCAGCCAUGGCGCGGUGAAUACGUUCCCGGGCCUUGCACACACCGCCCGUCA